CCUACGGGGGGCAGCAGUGAGGAAUAUUGGUCAAUGGGCGAAAGCCUGAACCAGCCAAGUCGCGUGAAGGAUGACUGCCCUAUGGGUUGUAAACUUCUUUUAUAAGGGAAUAAAAUGUUCCACGUGUGGGAUUUUGUAUGUACCAUAUGAAUAAGGAUCGGCUAACUCCGUGCCAGCAGCCGCGGUAAUACGGAGGAUCCGAGCGUUAUCCGGAUUUAUUGGGUUUAAAGGGUGCGUAGGUGGAUUUUUAAGUCAGUUGUGAAAGUUUGGGGCUCAACCGUAAAAUUGCAGUUGAAACUGGGAGGCUUGAGUAUAUUAGAGGUAGGCGGAAUGCGUGGUGUAGCGGUGAAAUGCUUAGAUAUCACGAAGAACUCCGAUUGCGAAGGCAGUUCACUGAACUACAACUGACACUGAUGCACGAAAGUGUGGGGAUCAAACAGGAUUAGAUACCCUGGUAGUC
rnacentral:rRNA from 1 species